AGCUUACAGCACCUAGUAUUCCCAGGCGGUCGAACCCCAAAGUCCCUAUGCCGACCAAUCAUUGAGCGCUGUGGAGCAAGUUGAGCAGCUGGACAGCCAAUCAUUGAGCAAGCUCCUUGCUCAACAGUCCAAUCAGAUCGCUGCACUGGCUAGCGUCAUGAGACCUUCCUCACUGACUGAGGCUCUGAUCGACAUCGCUAACGGGAACACAUCGGUAUUCACAAUGGAAUUGGAAGGCCACAAGUGCAGCGUGUGUGACAGGACUUUCUCUGUGAAGUCCAACCUCACUCGGCACAUGAAGCUUCAUGGUCCAAAGGAGUGUCUGUGUGAGGUGUGUGGGAGAGGCUUCUCUCAGCAGCAGCAACUCAGGAGUCACGUGAAGCAGCACCUCUACCCUUUCCUCCGCCUUUACAGGCCGGGGGAGGCCAAGCUGCAGUGCACCGAUGCAGCCAAGGCUGUAGCAGCUGCCCCCUCCAAAGCAGUAGACCCCACCUCUCUUGAUCCAGAAAAGGUGGAGGCUGCUGCCAAAAAAGCCGGUGGGGAAAUGUGGAGAGGGCUGCUAGUUGUGACCUUUGGUAAAUAUGCAGGGCAGACUUUCAGGUGGCUGCUGGAGAACGACGUGGGAUGGGUGACAUGGCUGCUUUCUGAGUACUGCCAGAAGGGAGAAAAGAACCAGCUUCUCAAGUGGCAGAAGGAGCGACUUCUGGAGUACGUCAGAGAGUUCCCGCCUGUCACCUUCCAUCUAGACAAGCGCUUGGAGAAAAAGAGGUCAAGAACUGAUGGAGAAAAGGCUGCUGAAGCUGGCAUGUCUGAUUUUCAGUCAGACUAUGCCAGCGAUGCUGAGCUGUUGGCUGCUGCUGGAGAAGAAAGCCAACUUCAGGGCGACUGUCAUCCCUAAAGUGAAGCUCCACCGCAGAGUGCUGUCUGACGCACCAAUGCCAGCCGCUCCAACGCUCCCGGCUUCCCUGCCAGCUCCAGGCCGACCUCAGGUCCAAUACCUGAGCCUUCCUCAUGUGGCUGGGGAAAGGCAUGGCCAGAAGCAGAGGUUAGGAGAACCACAGAGGAACAUCCAGCCCAAACCCCCGGUGGCCACUUACAUCCCCCCCCAGAGUGUCUGCAGCCCCGGUCCUGGUCGUGGUUCCUGCUCAGCCACAGGCGGCGUCGAUGAUGCUCUGUGGAACCUCCAGCGUUCAGAGCUUCGUACCUUCAGCUCCACCUCCUGCGCUGACAGCCAGGCCAACCAAGCCUCAUAAAUCCUUGAGGCCUUGCGGGGCCUGCAAAGUACCCCAGUGUGGUGGACAGAAGAGGCGAUACACACCCUCCAGAAACAAAACUGCUGGAAGUAGCCAAAAAAUAUUUAGCUUUUGCCCAGCAACAAGGAGAUCCACCACUUCUGGCUUUGAAGGCAUUGUUUAUGACAGCUUUGAGCAUUUCAAGAAGUUUGUAGACAGUGAACUUGAAAAGAAACAAGUUAACUAAAGAGUUUGUGUUUUGGGAGAGACUACAUUGGCCAGAAAUCUCCCUAAAAUAAUCAGUUAAAAAAAUUGUUUAUAUUGUUUUGUAACUUUUGUUUCUCUCAUUGUUAUUUAUGUUAUAUUUGUGUAUAUUUUAUUUGUUUUUGUAUUUAAUUAU